rnacentral:rRNA from 1 species
AGAGUUUGAUCCUGGCUCAGGAUGAACGCUAGCUACAGGCUUAACACAUGCAAGUCGAGGGGAAACGACAUCGAAAGCUUGCUUUUGAUGGGCGUCGACCGGCGCACGGGUGAGUAACGCGUAUCCAACCUGCCCAUCACUUGGGGAUAACCUUGCGAAAGUAAGACUAAUACCCAAUGAUAUCUCUAGAAGGCAUCUGAAAGAGAUUAAAGAUUUAUCGGUGAUGGAUGGGGAUGCGUCUGAUUAGCUUGUUGGCGGGUAACGGCCACCAAGGCUACGAUCAGUAGGGGUUCUGAGAGGAAGGUCCCCCANAUUGGAACUGAGACACGGUCCAAACUCCUACGGGAGGCA